rnacentral:rRNA from 1 species
AUUGAACGCUGGCGGCAUGCCUUACACAUGCAAGUCGAACGGCAGCACAGGAGAGCUUGCUCUCUGGGUGGCGAGUGGCGGACGGGUGAGGAAUACAUCGGAAUCUACUUUUUCGUGGGGGAUAACGUAGGGAAACUUACGCUAAUAUCGCAUACGACCUACGGGUGAAAGCAGGGGAUCUUCUGACCUUGCGGGAUUGAAUGAGCCGAUGUCGGAGUAGCUAGUUGGCGGGGGAAAGGCCCACCAAGGCGACGAUCCGUGGCUGGUCGGAGAGGAGGAUUAGACACACUGGGACUGAGACACGGUCCAGACUCGUACGGGAGGCAGCAGUGGGGAAUAUUGGACAAUGGGCGCAAGCCUGAUCCAGCCAUACCGCGUGGGUGAAGAAGGCCUUCGGGUUGUAAAGCCCUUUUGUUGGGAAAGAAAUCCGGCUGGCUAAUACCCGGUUGGGAUGACGGUACCCAAAGAAUAAGCACCGGCUAACUUCGUGCCAGCCGCCGCAGUAA